GUAAAUUCGGGCUGUCCGCCAGUGCAAAAAACUGGUGAAGAAAGGGCCGGGCAAGACCGGUGCCAGCCGCCGCGGUAAUACCGGCGGCUCGAGUGGUGGCCACUAUUAUUGGGCUUAAAGCGUCCGUAGCUGGAUUGUUAAGUCUCCUGGGAAAUCCACCGGCUCAACCGAUGGGCGUCCAGGGGAUACUGGCAGUCUAGGGACCGGAAGAGGUGAGAGGUACUCCAGGGGUAGGAGUGAAAUCCUGUAAUCCUUGGGGGACCACCUGUGGCGAAGGCGUCUCACCAGAACGGCUCCGACAGUGAGGGACGAAAGCUGGGGGAGCAAACCGGAUUAGAUACCCGGGUAGUCCCAGCCGUAAACGAUGCGCGUUAGGUGUAUCGGUGACCACGAGUUACCGAGGUGCCGAAGGGAAACCGUGAAACGUGCCGCCUGGGAAGUACGGUCGCAAGGCUGAAACUUAAAGGAAUUGGCGGGGGAGCACCACAACAGGUGGAGCCUGCGGUUUAAUCGGACUCAACGCCGGAAACCUCACCGGAUAAGACAGCGGAAUGAUAGCCGGGCUGAAGACUCUGCUUGACUAGCUGA
rnacentral:rRNA from 1 species